rnacentral:rRNA from 1 species
GACGAACGCUGGCGGCGUGCUUAACACAUGCAAGUCGAACGGAAAGGCCCUGCUUUUGUGGGGUGCUCGAGUGGCGAACGGGUGAGUCACACGUGAGUAACCUGCCCUUGACUUUGGGAUAACUUCAGGAAACUGGGGCUAAUACCGGAUAGGAGCUCCUGCUGCAUGGUGGGGGUUGGAAAGUUUCGGCGGUUGGGGAUGGACUCGCGGCUUAUCAGCUUGUUGGUGGGGUAGUGGCUUACCAAGGCUUUGACGGGUAGCCGGCCUGAGAGGGUGACCGGCCACAUUGGGACUGAGAUACGGCCCAGACUCCUACGGGAGGCAGCAGUGGGGAAUAUUGCACAAUGGGCGGAAGCCGGAUGCAGCAACGCCGCGUGCGGGAUGACGGCCUUCGGGUUGUAAACCGCUUUCGCCUGUGACGAAGCGUGAGUGACGGUAAUGGGUAAAGAAGCACCGGCUAACUACGUG